UACGUAGGGUGCAAGCGUUAAUCGGAAUUACUGGGCGUAAAGCGUGCGCAGGCGGUUUUGUAAGACUGUCGUGAAAUCCCCGGGCUCAACCUGGGAACUGCCUUUGUGACUGCAAGGCUUGAGUGCGGCAGAGGGGGAUGGAAUUCCGCGUGUAGCAGUGAAAUGCGUAGAUAUGCGGAGGAACACCGAUGGCGAAGGCAAUCCCCUGGGCCUGCACUGACGCUCAUGCACGAAAGCGUGGGGAGCAAACAGG
rnacentral:rRNA from 1 species